rnacentral:rRNA from 1 species
UACAGAGGUCCCGAGCGUUGUUCGGAUUCACUGGGCGUAAAGGGUGCGUAGGUGGCUUGGAAAGUUUGAUGUGAAAGCUCAGGGCUUAACCCUGAAAUGGCAUUGAAUACUGCUGAGCUGGAGGUUUGGAGGGGGACUGGAAUUCUUGGUGUAGCAGUGAAAUGCGUAGAUAUCAAGAGGAACACCAGUGGCGAAGGCGAGUCCCUGGACAACACCUGACACUGAGGCACGAAAGCUAGGGGAGCAAACAGG